UUUUCUGCAAAACAUGUAAGUUUUCACAUUUCAGGACCCGGUGAUAAAGAGAACGAUGGCUGCCUUUGUAGAACACCUUCGGCUCUUCAGAGAAAACAAAAAACAGAGGGACCCACCAACACCUCAAAAGGCUGCUGGCACUCUUCACGUUCUAAACCCUUCACAAACGGCAGUGAGCCCUCACAGCAGGUCUGUCAGCGCCGCGUUUCACCGAGACUCGCUCUAACUUUCCAGCAACAAAGAGGAGAUCCGUGGGUGGCUCCGAGCCGCCGCGGCGGCGGCUCCCCGGCUCGGCCCGACAACGCACACAGCCCGGGCCGGUGCAGACGUGGCUUCCUCACACCCCACCCCACCGGCCUGCGCCACCUUCCCCACCCGCCGCCUCCCCGGGCCCCGUCCCGCCCCAACCCCAAAUUGUGCCCGCCGACCGGGGGCGGCGGCCGGACCCCCGAGAGGGACCGGGCGGGAGAGGCAGCCCCGGGGCUGCCCGCGCCGCGCUCCCGCAGCCCCGGGGCCGAGCCGUGCGGGGCCGCCCGGGCUCCCCAGCGCCGGCACCGGCGGGGGCACGGCCGGGGGGUCCCCGCGGCCGCCAGCAGACGGGAGGCCUCGCCGCAGGCCGCGCACCCCGGCGCGGCCCUGUUGGCGGGGCGGCAGCCGCCCGGCCCGGCCCGGCCCGGAGGGACCGAGGGGGGAGCCCCCGGGCAGGGGGCGGCGGCGGCUGCGGGCCCCCGGGGGGCGGCGGGGCGCGGGGCCGGCGCGGCUGCCAUUUCUCCUGGCCCUCGGCGCUGUCGGGCGGGAGCGGGGGCGGGAGGAGGAGGAGGAGGAGGAGGAGGAGGAAAAGGGAGGGAGGGGAGAGGGAGGUGGCCGAGCCGGAGUGAAGUGAGGCGCUCAGCUGCCAACACUCACACACUGCCUGCCGCCGCCGCGCUGCUCCCGGACCCCGGGCAAGAGGGGGAGAGGAGGGAAGGCGAGGCAAAGCGAGACGCGGGAGAGGAGGCAGAAGACCCCUGGCAAGGGGAGGUCAGAGAGGAGGGAAGCGCGGAGAGGGGGGAAGGAGCCUCCUCCCCGCCGAGAGACGACUUCCCAUGUAGCGGGGGACAGAGGGAGAAGGCUGGCGCUCAGAAACUGUGCGAGAAGCUUUCCCAGCAAGUUACUUAA
rnacentral:lncRNA from 1 species